rnacentral:rRNA from 1 species
GAUGAACGCUGGCGGCGUGCUUAACACAUGCAAGUCGAGCGGGCAAUUUAUCUAGCACUGAUUACUUCAAAUGGAAAUCAUAAGUGUAAUCAUGAAUUUCUACCUUUAAUAAAGAAAAAGAAAUUCAUGUACGCAAAUAGUGAUAACACAUUUUAGUGGAGUGAUGAGUGCUGGAUAAAUUGCUAGCGGCGGACGGGUGCGUAACACGUGGGUAACCUGCCCCUAUCACUGGGAUAACACACUGAAAAGUGUGCUAAUACCAGAUAACAUAAGCUUUUGGCAUCAUUAGCUUAUCAAAGAAUUUCGGAUAGGGAUGGGCCCGCGUCUGAUUAGCUAGUUGGUGAGGUAACGGCUCACCAAGGCAACGAUCAGUAGCGACCUGAGAGGGUGAUCGGCCACACUGGAACUGAGACACGGUCCAGACUCCUACGGGAGGCAGCAGUGGGGAAUAUUGCA